UGCAUGGGACAUGAAAAAAAAAAAUAAAUAAAAAUGAAUUUAUUUAGUGUUCAGAGUGCAAACCUAAAUCAUGUUUUUUCAGACUGUGAGACUUUUGUCCAGCGUCAUCCAGUGACAGGAUACGAGCACUAUCGCCAGUGGGUGGAACGUGUAGCGGCAGGGGAGAGCGGGGUGCUCGUCCCAGGGAAGCCCCUCCUCCUGGCCGAGACGUCGGGCACAUCCGGACCCCCCAGCAUGCUGCUUAGCACAAAAGAGACAAACUCAGAGUUCUUUCUGCAGGGUGUGGCUGUAUGCCUGGAUGCCAUGAAGAAGGCCUUUCCUGCCACGGAGAGGUUGCAGCUCACAACCAAGUUUUUCUACCAGCCCAUCUUCCGCCAGUCGAAAGCGGGAAUCCCUGUCGGGCCGAACUGUUGGGCGCCGGCCGCCUCCCGCAUGCUGCUCGACCUCUACACCACUCCGGCUCCUGCCUUCCAAGUUGCCAGCGAGCGCGAUGCCCUCUACCUGCACCUGCUCUUUGCCCUCAAAGACUUGAAUGUAGGGAUGCUGGAGGCCAACUUUGCCUCCAGCAUCUCUUAUGCGUUUAGUGCUCUGCAGGAGUGGUGGCAGGAGCUGGUGGAGGACGUAGAGCUGGGCCGGGUCAGCCCUCGCCUGCACAUUGAGGAGGGGGUUCGAAAGAGUCUGGACGAGCUGCUCCGGCCAGACCCGAAGCGGGCGGCCGAUCUUCGGUCGCGGUUCGAGGUCGGCUUCCGGGGCAUCGCCCUCAGACUGUGGCCUCGGCUCAACCUUGUGCUGACCGUGGAUUCGGGAUCCAACCAAAUAUACGGAGAGCUGUUGAGGCAGCAGUGCUGUGAGGGCGUGCCCUUCUAUUCGCCCUUCUACGCUGCCACAGAAGGCUUGAUUGGAGUGAACCUGUGGCCAACAGAGGAGCGGCGACAGUACCUACUGUGUCCACGCUCCAUGUUCUGCGAGUUCAUUGCCGAAGCUGACCUGGAGGAUGAUCAGCCGUGCACGGUGAUGAUGGACCAGGUGCAGGAGGGGCAGUGCUAUGAACUGGUGGUCACCAACGCCUCGGGCCUCUACAGAUAUCGUAUCGGAGACGUGGUGAAGGUGGUUAGAUUCUACCAUCAGUGUCCGGUAGUGGAAUUUCAGUACAGACGGGGGCAAAUGCUCAGUGUGCGUGGCGAGAAGAUAUCUGAAGCAGUGUUCCUGGGAGCCUUGAAGCGAGCUGUAAGCCAGUGGCCAGGAGCGGUGAUCGUGGACUACUGCUGUGCAGAAAGUGGCAUUCUAGGUCAGAGCUCCGGAGGCUCAGACCCUCACUAUCAGGUGUUUCUGGAAAUGCAAGGCGUGAGGAAUCUCACUGAGGAGCAGCGCUACAAGCUUGACCACUGUCUUCAGGAAGACUCCGCCAUCUACAAAUCGUUCAGGUUCAAAGGCAGCAUUGGCCCAAUGAGGGUGCACCUGGUUGCUAGAGGUGCCUUUUUGGAGUUGCACGGCAACAUGAUGGCUUCCUCACACACUUCCCCCAAUACGUUCAAAAUGCACAGAGUGCUGCGCAGGAAGGAGUGGGUUGACUUCCUGCUGGGGAAGAUAAUCUCCUAGGUGCCGGUGAAGGGGCCUUCUGAGAAUGAACCCAUGUGGAGAAGGAGCGCAUCUGAUUCACGGAUAUUGCCUAAGGUCGAUUGAGCCGCCUUCCUUUUUUUGGACGCUUUUUUUUUACCGUUGACUCUCUCAGCAUGGGCUUUCAUUUGUUUGUUUUUUUUUCUCAGUCUCUAUGCUGUGGUACGUUUGGAGGCUAUGACCAAGACCUCAGGUCAGGUGUUGGCCAUUUUCUGCUUUACGACAAAAAGGUGGGCAACAAAAUUUAAGGCCGUAUAACACGGAAAUGAAUUCGCCCAACAUACGUAUAGGUACAGGGUGUAAAUUCGCACACAGGUGGAUUUAGGGGUGCUGCACUGGUGGUUCAGGUAUCCCUGGUGCAUGCAGAGACCUCCGUGCCUUUGAGUGUUGCUGUAGGGAAGGGCUCCUGGGCACAGGCCACUCCUGGUGCUGAUGGGGGUACUUGGUGAGCAGAACGGGCACUGCAGGGGACUGUAUCGUGGUGGUCACUGACUUUUUCCACUGAGCCAUCUUGUGUAAGCACUUAAAUAUUUUGCUGGUUCAGUGCUGAGCAAAACAGCCACAUGCCACCCUGAUCUGUUUUUGAUGCUUCUGGGGGCAUUGAUGCUAUCAGAAGGUGGUUUGAGAAGCAACACGACUGGACUAUGAGGAGACGCACCUUCAGCAGGAAGGAAGAAUGGUGCCCGGUUCCUGCUCAGGUCCUAUUCUGUUUGCUUGCAUGCUAGGUGUCCUUGUCUCCACAGAGUUGCCUAAUAUCUCCCCAUGUAAUGUUCUGGUCUCCUCUUUCUCAUUCUCCUCUGUACAGCUAAAGUUGGAUUUAUAUAAUACAAAAAAAGCUGUAUUCAGACCAUAGUGUGAUGGGAGUUACAGAUCCAGCACAUAAAGUUUAUUCUGUGAAGCAUCAGCAUCAUAAAGACAGGCAGCUCCACUGAAUGACAUGUCAGCUGGUAAACUUUCCAACCUCAUCAUUCGGAGGGACGUGGCAGCUCUCCCAGAAUGCAGUACCUCUGGGCAGUCACUCAGACACAUGUUACAUGUGGUUAUCGGUUCUGAUGCCGAGGCGCACAACAGAUCAUGCUGUCCCGCCACAAGUUCUGUAACUCAUCUGAACUGAACGUUUCCAGCAGUUCGGACCCAGUGGAUCAUUACAACCACGUAGUAUUAUUACAGUGCAUUGCAAUGUAAGAAUGUAUUCCAAUGUAUUCCAAUGUAUUGCAAUGUAACAAUGGAUUACAAUAUAUAACAUUGUAUCACAAUAUCUUACAACAAGGUAUUACAAUGUAUCCUAGUGCUUUCACUGCUCCCUAAAAAAAAAGACACCGAGCGGCCUGCACACACAGCUGCUGCUCCAGAGGUCCUCGGACACGAAAAGAGUCUGUAAUGAACGCUGCUUGACGCCGCGGUUUUUCGUUCGGUUCGGAUUGACGAGCAGGGAUUUCAAGCCACUUCAAGCCCCCCCGAAAUUGGGGUUGGCUGCAGGAGAAGGUCACCCAGCCGGCGAAGGAGCUCAUCGUCAUCACAUCGUUCCUCUUACUUCCUAUUUGGUGUACUGUAACUGUGCUGUACUGUGGUGCCUAAGUUAGAAUGCAGAGGUUACUGGUUUGAAUCCCACUGUACUGAGCUAAGGUAUUACAUGUGAUGUGUUCGUUUAUCAGACACUU